rnacentral:rRNA from 1 species
AUGAAGAGUUUGAUCCUGGCUCAGGAUGAACGCUAGCUACAGGCUUAACACAUGCAAGUCGAGGGGCAGCAUGGUCUUAGCUUGCUAAGGCCGAUGGCGACCGGCGCACGGGUGAGUAACACGUAUCCAACCUGCCGUCUACUCUUGGACAGCCUUCUGAAAGGAAGAUUAAUACAAGAUGGCAUCAUGAGUCCGCAUGUUCACAUGAUUAAAGGUAUUCCGGUAGACGAUGGGGAUGCGUUCCAUUAGAUAGUAGGCGGGGUAACGGCCCACCUAGUCUUCGAUGGAUAGGGGUUCUGAGAGGAAGGUCCCCCACAUUGGAACUGAGACACGGUCCAAACUCCUACGGGAGGCAGCAGUGAGGAAUAUUGGUCAAUGGGCGAGAGCCUGAACCAGCCAAGUAGCGUGAAGGAUGACUGCCCUAUGGGUUGUAAACUUCUUUUAUAAAGGAAUAAAGUCGGGUAUGCAUACCCGUUUGCAUGUACUUUAUGAAUAAGGAUCGGCUAACUCCGUGCCAGCAGCCGCGGUAAUACGGAGGAUCCGAGCGUUAUCCGGAUUUAUUGGGUUUAAAGGGAGCGUAGAUGGAUGUUUAAGUCAGUUGUGAAAGUUUGCGGCUCAACCGUAAAAUUGCAGUUGAUACUGGAUAUCUUGAGUGCAGUUGAGGCAGGCGGAAUUCGUGGUGUAGCGGUGAAAUGCUUAGAUAUCACGAAGAACUCCGAUUGCGAAGGCAGCCUGCUAAGCUGCAACUGACAUUGAGGCUCGAAAGUGUGGGUAUCAAACAGGAUUAGAUACCCUGGUAGUCCACACGGUAAACGAUGAAUACUCGCUGUUUGCGAUAUACAGCAAGCGGCCAAGCGAAAGCGUUAAGUAUUCCACCUGGGGAGUACGCCGGCAACGGUGAAACUCAAAGGAAUUGACGGGGGCCCGCACAAGCGGAGGAACAUGUGGUUUAAUUCGAUGAUACGCGAGGAACCUUACCCGGGCUUAAAUUGCAGAUGAAUUACGGUGAAAGCCGUAAGCCGCAAGGCAUCUGUGAAGGUGCUGCAUGGUUGUCGUCAGCUCGUGCCGUGAGGUGUCGGCUUAAGUGCCAUAACGAGCGCAACCCUUGUUGUCAGUUACUAACAGGUUCCGCUGAGGACUCUGACAAGACUGCCAUCGUAAGAUGUGAGGAAGGUGGGGAUGACGUCAAAUCAGCACGGCCCUUACGUCCGGGGCUACACACGUGUUACAAUGGGGGGUACAGAGGGCCGCUACCACGCGAGUGGAUGCCAAUCCCCAAAACCUCUCUCAGUUCGGACUGGAGUCUGCAACCCGACUCCACGAAGCUGGAUUCGCUAGUAAUCGCGCAUCAGCCACGGCGCGGUGAAUACGUUCCCGGGCCUUGUACACACCGCCCGUCAAGCCAUGGGAGCCGGGGGUACCUGAAGUGCGUAACCGCGAGGAGCGCCCUAGGGUAAAACUGGUGACUGGGGCUAAGUCGUAACAAGGUAGCCGUACCGGAAGGUGCGGCUGGAACACCUCCUUU